rnacentral:rRNA from 1 species
AUGUCAAGCACACAACGGAAUGAGUGCAUGAAUAACGUUCUUAAAACUUAUGUAUCACUAUCAGCACCGCUCAACAGAUUUGUGAUGCAGUAUAACAAACUAAUAGCCUCUCGUUGCGAAGAAGAGGACUUUGAAAUGGCACAUACAAAAAAGGAUGGUAAGGUGUUGCAUAGCAAUGUGCCCAGCGAGCGUCACGCCUCCAAGGUCUAUACUCGUGCUGUGUUCAAGUUAUUUUCUGCUGAGUUGUAUGAGGCAGGCAGUUACGUCGUGAAAGAUCAGAAUGUGGAUGGCCGCGUUGUCGUGCAACAUGUUGACUCAGAUAGCCGUGCACACUGGUGCAAAGUAAGCUAUGUGGUUAUGGUUGAUCGAGAAAGCGACACUUACAACUGCGAGUGUGCCAUGUAUGAGCACAUGGGGCUUCUCUGCCGGCACGCUCUGAGAGUAAUGAUUCAUGUUGGUGUUCUUCGCCUUCCGACUCAUUAUGUGAUGAAGCGGUGGACUAGAGAUGCCCGGGACAUUUUACCUGAUCAUAUCAAGAAUUAUCAGAGAGACUCGGAUAUUGGGGUUUCCAAAACUUUCAGGCACAAUAUUUUGUACGUGCGUGCACUGCAGGUGGUGAAGGAAGGUAACCUAUCAGUGCCGCUUUUCAAUCACGCAGUCCAGAAGUUGCUCUCGCUCGAGAAAGAGCUCAAAGCCAUGGCUGCUUCAGAAUCUGAGACUAGUCAGCCAAGUACAAAGAUUGGGAACAGCAAGGCUGCAUCACAAAAGCCCAAUGUGCCCAACUUUAGUGAUGUUCAACCUGCUGAUCAUGUUACAGCUCUGUAUCCAGAGAAGAGACCAUCGCGUGGCCGCCCCAAAUCAAAGAGAAUGAAAUCGGUAGUUGAGCGUGCGGUGGAAAAAUCUAAGGAUGCAUGCUCUGUUUGCGGAUCAGAAGAUCAUUUUACUGAAGAUUGUGAGUGCUUGAAACUACCAGAUCAGAAUGACGGCUCCAGCUCUGAAGAUAACUAUGUACCAGAAUCUUGCUUCGAUGGUUCCGGGGAUGAUGGGCAGGACCGGUUCGACAAGGAUCCCGUGCCCGUGGAAACUUCAGAAGCUCGGACAACUCGCUUGAUGGCAUCUGCAUCAACGACACCUCUCGCAGCCCGUUUCGCUAGUGCAACUGCUACUGCAUCUCGUCAGUCCAAAGUUCCAAGCUCCGGCGGAAAAACUCCUGCUAGACGCAGAUGCAGCAUAUGCAAUGAGCAUGGACACUAUAAGGUGUCUUGUCCACUAAAUGAUGAACCAAAGAAACCCCCGAAGAAGGUUCGAUGCGGCAAGUGCGGCAUGGGCACACACUAUGAAUCAACUUGUGGUGGCAAUACAACCUACAAACGACCUCGUCGUCUUCAUUAA